GAGCCCUUUUAUUUGUCUUUAAAAAGAUUUGUUAACUUGAUUGUAGGUUGAACUAUGUUUUGAAUACAAUUGAAGAGUUGCGACCAAAAUCUAUUACAGUUGUUGCCUGUAUCUUAUAAGCUAUCUAUUAUUUAAAGCAUGGUUUCUUAAGUUGUAAAUGACAUUUGGAAAUGACUAUUCAUGUUUUGAAGUUUAGCAUCAACGUAUGGUGUUUAGGUUGUCUAAAAAUUUAGUUAAGAGGAAAUUUGGCAUCGCUGUCCCCUAAGGAUGAAUAAGCUAUGCAAAUCCAUGUAAAGUAAUGAUGAUAUUCAGCUUUCAUGUAUUCCUCAUUUCAAUAGAUCCAAACUUAUUUGAAGCUGUUUUUUUAUUUGUCUUUCUCGCCAGCUUCAAUAUUGAAGGUUCGAUUUUUUUUGUACUUCUUCUUUCCUUACGUCCUCAUGAUAUUCGUAUAUCAAAACGUUCCAGUCUUAGAUUUAAUGUUGGACGAAUGCCUACGUAAAAAUAUAAAACGUUUAUCGUUCGAUAGUAACUAAUUUGAUUUUACCCGAAGAUUAAGAACAAGAAAUAUAUGAUUCAUUCAAA
rnacentral:lncRNA from 1 species